UACGAUCUCUGUCUCUGUCUCUGU
rnacentral:siRNA from 1 species